rnacentral:rRNA from 1 species
UACGUAGGGCGCAAGCGUUAUCCGGAAUUAUUGGGCGUAAAGAGCUCGUAGGCGGUUUGUCGCGUCUGCCGUGAAAGUCCGGGGCUCAACUCCGGAUCUGCGGUGGGUACGGGCAGACUAGAGUGAUGUAGGGGAGACUGGAAUUCCUGGCGUAGCGGUGAAAUGCGCAGAUAUCAGGAGGAACACCGGUGGCGAAGGCGGGUUGCUGGGCUGACACUGACGCUGAUGCGCGAAAGCCAGGGGAGCGAACGGG